AAAGACUUGACGGUACUUCACAACAGCCUAGAGGAGCCUGUCUAAUAACCGAUACCCCACGAUUAACCCAACCCCUCCUAGCCCAACAGUCUAUAUACCGCCGUCGCCAGCUCACCUUGUGAAAGAAAUAAAGUGAGCUCAAUAGACCUCACCCUAACACGACAGGUCGAGGUGUAACUAAUGGAGGGGGUAAGAUGGGCUACAUUUCCUAACACAGGAAACACACGAAUAGACUAUGAAACUAGAAACUGAAGGCGGAUUUAGCAGUACGCUAAGAACAAAAUACUUA
rnacentral:rRNA from 1 species